GGAGGGCGGGGUAUAAAUAAAAAUUAUUAUUAUUACUGUAUAUUAAUAAUAAUAAUAAUAAUAAAUUUUAUUUAUAUCCCGCCCUCC